AUCAUAGAGGCUCUACUAACGUAUUUCAAUUAAGCUUAUCCUCCCCACACCGCCCACCACUGGCGCCCACGUCUGCCACACCGCCCUCCCCCACCGCCCUUCACCGCAGCCUCCUUCCCACGCCGCCCUCUCCCGCUGCGGUCUCCUUCAGCUCUUCUCCCCCGUCGCCCCUGUUCGCCGCGGCCCCUACUCGCCGACGCCACUCUUCUCAGUCUCGUCUAUCUGCCUCUCUCGUCGGCCUCUCUGCAAGUUGGGCUAUGCCUCUUCUUUUUUUUCUUGUUCUUUUUGUUUAUUUUUCUUUCUGUGGUUUAACCUUUUCCUUAUAUUUUAGAGAGUGGUUUGUUUCCCAUUGUGCUGAUUAAUUUAUGGGCUUUAAGCUCUUGAUCGGAUAUGCGUCGAUUAGGGCAAUUGAGACGAAGUUAGUUUUUGAUAUGAACAAUGGCUAACUUAUUGGGUUCUUAGCUCUGUGAUUACUCUUUUCGAGCUCACUUUUGCAAUGCUUAUUAAAUGCUUUGGAUAUGUAAGGCCUUACAUUGUUACUCGGCAGAAGUCAGUUAACACGUGCUUAUGUCUGGAUGUAAAGUUCAUGUAUGGAGCAUACUGUAAUUCCUUCAUGGUACCAGCGAGAAUGAUAUAUAAAAGCUAUAGCAAAUUUGAUUCAGAAGGAGUUGGGAAACUUUGAUUGCUCUGAAGAGAUCUAUGAAGCUUACUUCAAAAAACAUGCUGAGAAAAUCGGAUCUCUAGGGAGCGACGUCUAGAUUCUUCUUCAUCUACUGGUAAAUAUUUAUUCACGUUCAAUUCAAAAUACAAAAAAGGUGGAAGAAACAACCAGCUUGAAAAAUCAUGAAGGUAAUGCCUUCUAUUUGUCUCAUACUUGUGUGUGAUAAUUGGGAUGGUUUUUCUAACAUUUCAUAGUUUGACGUAGUGUCCACUACAACCCGAUUUGAAACAGUGUGGAGUGUCUAUAUUGCAAUUCAUGAAAGACAUUAUUGAAAAUACUAUAGGGGGUGGUUCCAACUUCCAACUCUCCACGCUUACUUGAUAAUCGAACUUAUGACCGAAAGGAUAUUGCUGAAGUUCGUGUUGAGUGGGCAAACCUGUUGGUGAAACGAAUAUAGUAUGAUAGAUUUUAAUUUUAGCUAUGCAAUAUGUCGAUACUUUAUACUGUAAAUUUUGAAUCGAAUUUUAGGUAUGACAUUUGUGUUAAUACUUGCUACAAGAUUGUUGGAUGAAAUAUUUUGAUUUUGAAUGCAAAUAAAAUAUUUUG